rnacentral:rRNA from 1 species
UGGGGAAUUUUGGACAAUGGGCGCAAGCCUGAUCCAGCAAUGCCGCGUGCAGGAUGAAGGCCUUCGGGUUGUAAACUGCUUUUGUACGGAACGAAAAGGCUCUGGUUAAUACCUGGAGCAUAUGACGGUACCGUAAGAAUAAGCACCGGCUAACUACGUGCCAGCAGCCGCGGUAAUACGUAGGGUGCGAGCGUUAAUCGGAAUUACUGGGCGUAAAGCGUGCGCAGGCGGUUUUGUAAGACAGAGGUGAAAUCCCCGGGCUCAACCUGGGAACUGCCUUUGUGACUGCAAGGCUGGAGUGCGGCAGAGGGGGAUGGAAUUCCGCGUGUAGCAGUGAAAUGCGUAGAUAUGCGGAGGAACACCGAUGGCGAAGGCAAUCCCCUGGGCUGCACCUGGACGCUCAUGCACGAAAGCGUGGGGAGCAAACAGGAUUAGGAU